UUACCUUAAAAGACACUGAGAAAACACACUUGCUGCUGGCAUGGUAUUAACCAGCAGCCCUCCCAUAUCUGUCUCUUGCAUCUUCUUUCUGCCUUUCCUAUAGUCAUCCUCACUCCCCGAGUCAUAGUUUUCCUGUUGACUGAGUGUCAGGCUCUGGAAGAAUAAUGCCUAAUGUGCAGCUCAACUAUGGAAGACAAAGUGAAAGACACUGCAGAAAAAGUGAGUGAUCAGAAAAAGAAGAGGGAAGUCAGAAAAAGAGAGUUCGGUGUGGACUUACAUCUUUGUGGUGACAAGAUUCCACCUUGGAAGAUGUUAAUGGAGAAAUGUGGAAGUGGAGAAAUAUGAGCGGCAGAAGCUGUUUUAAUUGCAUCUGAAAGAGAAGACAUGGCCACCAUAAGAUUAGAGCAUACUCUCAAAAUGUCAAAAAGAGAAAAAUGGAAGAGCGUGAAGCAGCUGAGGAUGGGUGUGCUUAGUUCUAACUAGAGAAUUACAAAGAGCCCAAUUCCAGCUUUAGCUGUUGAGCUUCUGAUCUUGUGGAGACGUCUUCUUAGGAGCCAUUUGAACAAACCAGGUUCCCUGGGUUAACAUGAAGAUGCUGUGAUGGUCUCUGGAUCACCUGGGGUGAUGAUAUUCUCUUGGAAGACAUUCAGAAGUUCCAAAAUGAAGUUAGAAAGAAGGUUGAAUGACUCAGUGAGCUUUGAAAAAAAGAUUUAUUUAUUUUUAUCUUAUGUAAAUGGGUUAUUGUGCCUACGUAGGAACUAAACUGAAGCCAUUUUGAAUAAAACUUCCAUUUUGAAUAUAGGUCCAAUAAAGUUUAAGUUUCCAUGGUCUCCCUGGGUAACUGACAUCUUGCUUGGCAGACAGAAACAUGUAUGUGGGCAACUGGCAUCCUGUUUGAGACACCAACAAAUGAAAAUAGGAUAAAUGUACCAAAAGACAUGUUCCUAAAGAUGUGCCUUAUUCCUAAGUCCUGAUUGGUGGGAAAAUGUAACUGUAACUUGGCACAGAUGUUUAUGUUUUUUAAGCUCAAAAGCUCUGUACCUGAGUCUGUUCUGAGACUUUGAUCAAUCAGUAAUAGUUUGAUUACAAUACAUUUUUGUCCUCUG